rnacentral:rRNA from 1 species
AUUGAACGCUGGCGGCAUGCCUUACACAUGCAAGUCGAACGGCAGCACGGGUGCUUGCCCCUGGUGGCGAGUGGCGAACGGGUGAGUAAUACAUCGGAACAUGUCCUGUAGCGGGGGAUAGCCCGGCGAAAGCCGGAUUAAUACCGCAUACGAUCUACGGAUGAAAGCGGGGGACCUUCGGGCCUCGCGCUAUAGGGUUGGCCGAUGGCUGAUUAGCUAGUUGGUGGGGUAAAGGCCUACCAAGGCGACGAUCAGUAGCUGGUCUGAGAGGACGACCAGCCACACUGGGACUGAGACACGGCCCAGACUCCUACGGGAGGCAGCAGUGGGGAAUUUUGGACAAUGGGCGAAAGCCUGAUCCAGCAAUGCCGCGUGUGUGAAGAAGGCCUUCGGGUUGUAAAGCACUUUUGUCCGGAAAGAAAUCCUUGGCCCUAAUACGGUCGGGGGAUGACGGUACCGGAAGAAUAAGCACCGGCUAACUACGUG